UUAUUCAAGCAACUCACGAAUGUAACUUCUUUAGUUUUGUCAUCUACUUUUAUUGAUGUGGACACUACAGGAACAUGGACAUCUUGAAUUAUGAUUCAAGUAGCCUGCAACUCGUAUUAACGCAUUUCAGAAAUGACCCAUCACUCACACUCCCAGUCCUCUUACAGAGAGGAGGUUGUCUCCAAGCAUUCUCUUUGCUAUCUCACCUGGAGUAUGGACACCGUCCUCAUCCUGCAACACCUUUUAACCUGGUUUCAACACCCUACUCUUUCUGGGUCUGCUUCCCUCCCUUUGAACAAUGACAACAGGUGAGGAAAAGUGGUUUUAUUAAUGUGCUAUCCUAACAUCAGAAAGCUUUUAAUCUCUUUUCUACUUUUUGAGAAUGUUUUCCCGUAAAACUCUGCAUUAGUCCCUCCUGUGUGGUUGCUUGCAUUGUUCACUUGAACAAAAAGUUCAUCUCAUGAAACUACUAUUGCGUCCUGGAUUUUUGAAGAGAAGGUGAAUAACCUCUGGUAUGGAAAUAGAUAAGUCUUAAUAAGGAAAAGAAAAUUCUAAUUAUGCUAAAAUGUGAUUAGCAUAUGUGCACAGCUACCCAGAAGCAGUGGAGUCCAGUGUAUGUUUGUCCUAUGUAUGUUGUUCUUUUCUACCAUCCCAACAUCCUUAUCUUUUUCCUUUAUACUUCUAAGGAUACUUUUAGCAUCUGUUUCUUCUCUACUUAGCAUAUCCUUUCCACUUCCAUGCCCCUUCUUCCUCUGUGCACUUGUUAUGCACCCCACAAGGACAGGCAGAAGGCUGCCCUACUGCAUGUUGAGUGCAGUUAAUAAAUAACCACCUAGCAAUUUCUAACUUUUUUUUUCUUAACUGCAGUGAUGCUUUGUAUUUUUAUACAUCCAUAUUUUACAGGUAAGCCAACUUUUUAAAAUCAAUGACUUUCAGACAACUGAAAAUGCUUAAAAUAUGUGACUGUGCCAUCUACCUGUUGUAAGUAUUGCAUAUGCAAGUGGGAUUAAAACAGUAGCAAAAUUUGUUUUAGGUAUAUUUUCCUUUAGCUGCUGAAGUGUCUGCAUGAUCAACUUUAAACUUUUUUCUGAUACGUAAUUGUUGUUUGUUUGGUUUUUUUUUUUUCCCCACCCUUCCCAAAUGAAAGAAAAGUCAGCUUUCCUGGAUUUUCGCCUGUGGUAUAUUUUCUACCUAAGGAAACUUGCAUGCAGUGAGGCUUAAAAGUAUUGCAAACAGCAUCAGCUUUCCAGCUAUUGUUUGUAAUUUUUUUUGCCUAAACCAGAAAGGUAUAUAUUUGAAAAAGUUUAAAACAUUUUUGCUCUUUUAUAUUGAGGCAUAGUUACAGUUAUCCCCAUGUUUUUACAGCUGUUCGUGUAGUCUUCACUCUUAAUUUUUCUUGUGGUCAAAGAAACACAGUGUUUGCGGGGGUAUCCUUAGUGUAAUACGAGAAGUUGUUCAUUGAUUCUUCAUUAUACACGGCUGCACAGAUGCCCAUCCUUCUUAAUUUUCUAGGUUGGUGUAGUCCCAUGACUUCCAAAUGCCCAGUUGCACAUGGAACAGACCGCUGCUGCUAUAAAUUGUUUAUUAGUAAAAUAACUAUAAAGCAAGCUUCACUUGCAUGUGUUCAUUAAUUGACUCUUGUUGUUUAAUAUAAUUGCAGUAACGUUGCUGGUCAGUCCACUUCUGCUGCUGCUGUACGUAGCUGGUGAGAGCUUGCUCCUGGAGUCUGAAGCCUUAGGUGCAUUUUUUCCAUUAGUAGUGACCGGGUGUUUGAGCGAAGUCUGCAGGUCUUACUGGUGGAAGCGUUACUGGAAUAAAGCCAGUGCCAGUCGUUGGCUAAUUGGUAGCACGAGCACCUGCAGGACUAUUGCUUAGCUGGUCUGCUCUUUGAGUCUCUGACUUCUAAUUAAUGAAUUAAUUUGACAAUGUCUCUUGCAACUUUCAUAGAAAGUUUUCAUAUGGAUUUUUGUCUUAAAGGAUGAUGAGUUGUUUUUGAUGGAUCAAAUUUACCUCUACCUCUUAGAACAAGGAACUUCUGAAGACAGCCCUAUUAGUUCAUUUCUCUAUAUACACAGAACAAUGGAAAUCAUUUCUGCAGAUUACAUUGAUAAGCCUUGAUACUAUUUCUACCCGAAAUGUGAAUCAGAUUCCACUUAAAAGCUGUUACUUUCAGGAUAGUCUGACACUGGUUAAGCAAAACCGGGAAUUUCUAUUGUAAAUAAUUGUUGGCCAUCAGUUGUAGUGUUACUCGACUUUGGAUUUUCAAGUGCUGCUGUUUUUUCCCUGAGGAGUCAAAGUUUUGGUGGUUUUUGGUUUUUUUUGUUUUGGUUUUUUUUUUUUUUUUUUUGUAGGAAACUUGUAACACUUAUUCCAGUUUUGCUGGUGUUGAUCAUAACGUGGGCAUAUGUUAAAUGCAAGAAACACUGAUGGCAUAAUCCUGUGGUUAAAACACUUUAAGUGUAUGCAUUCAGGAGACUUAAAUGUUUCUGGAUUCUGACUGAAAGCUGACGUCAUGUGUUGGACUUGGCGGUUAACGUAUGGCUUGGCUCUGCCUGAUUCCUCCUUCAUAAAGAUGGUGAGUGGUGCUACACAGGUGUGCUCCAGAUAUGUCACAGGUUGAAGCUGAGAUUGCUGCAUAUUAAGCAGAGAUUCACUGUGAAGGGAGCAAGAGAAACAAGGAGAGGAGUGCUUGGACCUUUAACUCUGGGUUUGCAACAGCUGACAUAGCGAGGUGUUUCUGGCAAGAUGGUGGGAGCACACUUGAGUGCGGUCCUCGCCCCCUUCCUCCCCAGUUGACCAGCCACUUCGUGUACCUAAAUUUUGUGAUGCUGGGCAGCUUUCUUACCAUUUCGCUUAGUGUGGUAGCUCCAUGAGGUACAGUUUGGGGUGGAAAAAGGUAUGUUCCCUCCCAGCAUGUUUUUUAAAAUCUCUUAGAUGGACGCAAUGCAUUCAUCAAUACUUGCUCCUGAUCUUGACUGGACCUCUGUAUAACUGCCUGGUACAAAGGGGUCACUAAGAUUUGUGACUGGCUUCUUAGGAAUUUUACUCAUAAAAUUUGCACUUUUAUUUAAGAGAAACUGCUUACUAUAAAUGUUAUCUAUCCACUAACAGCAACAGCUGUAGGAGGAACAUAGCCCAGAACACUAAUAGCUCUUACUAAUAGUGUCUAAUAUAAUACAUAGUUCAGUGCAUGAAAAAUUUCAAGUACUGUGUUAAAUUUUUCGUGUUAGAGUGUUUUUUUACUUGCUUCUGACUUUGAUUUUUUUUACCUUUAAUUUGUAUGGAUUUUUUUUUCCUUUGGGGCCUGUAGACAGCUAAAGGGUGAAUGUUGCAGUUCUCAAUGGCUGAGUCACUUAAUUUAGUUGUUCUUAGAGGGUCGUGCUUCUUUGAACUGUGAACGUGAAAAUUACUUAGGGAGGUUUCAAGAGCAAUGAGUUAUCAAGAAUUUAAGAAUCAAAUUAAUCAAGAAUGCAUACCCAAGAAAUAAAGCAAAAGCCCCCCCCCCCCCCCCCCCCAAUAUCAGUCUUUCAGCUUUUCAACUUUUAUCAUGGCCGCUCAUGCAAAAGCAACUUUAGUUCUGCAAAGUCUUGCCUUGCAAAACAUCAGCGUUAAUAAAAACUCAGCAGAAGAAAGUGUCCUUCCAAUUAUGCUCUUACAAUUGAAUUUGUAUUUAGUCGUCCCACAGUUAGCAUACAUAUAAUCCAUGUUAUAAAAAAUCCCUACAAAGAAAAUUAAUGAUUUGGUAAGUAGAAGAAGGUAUCUGUCCUACGAUAAUAACUAACUUAAAAUUUUGUGUACUUGCCAUUUUCAGAGAAAUGUCUUUGGUAAGGUCUUGGGGUUUUCUUUUUACCUCCAUGAUCAGACUCUUCAAUGGGAUGUUGUGAAUAUAGGAGUGUGUCCCUGCUCCCGGCUCUGCUCCGCGUCCCAUCUUCUGGCGGGCUGGUUUCCGUACAAAGGAAGGGAGUUGCAGCGAGCUCUGAAAAUAUCCCUGGGUUCGAACAACUAUGAAAGGAAGGAGUGUUACCGAAAUGCGCUCACCCUGCCCAGCCAGAGAGACCAUGUUUUGGAGAGUUUCACAAGCUGUAAGGCCUCAAAUCGUGCCAACGUUAGCACAUAAUCUUCGCUUUGCAUUUGUAAGUGGUCCCCUUGCUUGUGAAGAGAGGGGGAGUUAAGAAGAGAGGUCUCUUUCUGUAGCACUGGGGUUUAGUCUGAUUUUAAAAAAAAAAAAACCCAAACCUCAAUUAGUGUUUUUGGUUAAAAAGAAAACACAGCAAAUGUGACUCAUUUAAUAUUGUAGUCAAGUUUCCUUCCUUUGGGUUUCUGGAAAGAGGUACAGAAAGGAUUGCAGAGCUGUCGACCCAAGGGUAAAUGAUAAACGGUUGCUGUCUGAGGGGCUGGAUGGGUAUCUGGAAGGCAGUGCUUCACCUGGGCUUCGUGUUCAGGCCUGGUGGUUGUGCCCACCCAGAAGGCUCAAUGAAAACCUUUUUUCUUUCUUUUUUUUUUUUUUCCUCUUUCAUUUAGCAUUGUUCCACAGAGGAAGGUUCUUGAAUUCAGCUCUAUAAACUUCCAGUGAGUGACCUAUCUGCGAGACUCCUUUCCACGCUGUCGGGCGGCGUGGGUGGGAGGGCGCUCGUCGUGCUCCCUGCGCGGCGGCCGCCCUCCCCUCCCCGCUCCCCUCGGGGGGACCCGGCCGCGGCAGCCAGAGCUUGGCCCGAACUCGCCAGCGUGAAACACGGCGGCUGGACGCGGCACUUCUGCACCUCGCUGCAUCGACACAUGCACAAAAGAAUAGGCACCUCAUGGUGAAACCGGUGGCGUGUGGGUCUGCCCUGGCCGACAACAGACUUCUCAGGCCUCAAGCAAACAGCUCCUGCUAAACGCUGAGGCCCGCACGGUUGUUGACAAAGCGAUAAAAUAGCGUUUGCAGCGUCCGGCGUCCUUUCUUUCACUGCUUUUGAAACGCGUGGUGCGUCCGAGCACCUAAAAAGCGAUGGGUUUGGAUCUGGCGUGCCGUGCUUCACCCAGGGAGAUCCCAGCGUCUGUCUGGAUGGGGCCCAGCAGCGCUCGCUCCUGCCGCCGCCGCCGCCGGCCUCUCCGAGGGUCGGCGUUUCUCCAAACGCAGGAAACUGGCUUAAUUUCUCCAUACAGAGACAAGACACUUCCCUGAAAUAAUAUUGAUUGCAUGUUGGUAUUCUUCAGGCUUAAUGGAUUCCUGAAAAGGGAAUUAAGAACUAGAACUGGGGGGGGGGGUGGGGGGAAGCCCCAAACCUGGGUCAAAAUAAUAAACAAAAGUGACUGAAAAAGGUAAGGUUAAGAUGUAACAUUACACGUUCUUUGAAACCCAGAUGACUUCAUACUAUGCAAGACAAUGUGGCAAAAGUUUCUACUGAAUAAUCCAGUUCGUCAUAUGAUACUUCAGUAAAUACUGAAAAACAGAAUUAUUGCUCGAGGUUAUGCAGUCAGGUGUUUUUAAUGAAAAUAUUCUUGAGUUAACUUCUAUGGAGAGCUCUGGUCAGAAUUUGUCCCGUGGACAGUUAGCUACAACUUUUUAUGGAAAACAUCACCAGUAAACUGUAGUUACUUAACUUUUGCUUUAAGAGAAAGGAGUUCGUAGGCUGUCCUGAUGACAGCUUAGUCCUCCAUCUCUGAUAGACUCAAAAGAUAUUCGUACUGCUACAGUGAAAAUGAAAUGUGCACAUUACAUAUGCUGUAAAGACACAGGAUACAUAGAGAGGAUAAUAAACAAGCAUUGAUUAA